GUGUAUCUGUUGUUCCACCAGGAGCAUCGCAGAGUAGCUACGUUCGGACGGGAUAACCGCUGAAAGCAUAUAAGUGGGAAGCCCACCUGAAGAUAAGAUCGCACCUGUUGUAGUCCGGGCAGACGACCCGCUUGAUAGGUCACAGGUGUAAGUUCAGUAAUGGAUUCAGCCAAGUGAUACUAAUCGCCAAGCUUGACCAUAUUAC
rnacentral:rRNA from 1 species